rnacentral:siRNA from 1 species
AGAUUCGUACCGUACCGCAUCAU